rnacentral:rRNA from 1 species
GACGAACGCUGGCGGCGUGCUUAACACAUGCAAGUCGAACGAAGUGGCGAACGGGUGAGUAACGCGUAAUCAACCUGCCCUUCAGAGGGGGACAACAGUGGGAAACGACUGCUAAUACCGCAUACUGAAGUAGGGGAUUGAGUCUGAUUAGCUAGUUGGAGGGGUAAGGGCCAACCAAGGCGAUGAUCAGUAGCCGUGCUGAGAGGAUGAACGGCCACAUUGGUACUGAGAACCGGCCCAGACUCCUACGGGAGGCAGCAGUGGGGAAUCUGCCGCAAUGGACGAAAGUCUGACGGAGCAACGCCGCUUGAGUGAUGCCGGCCUUCGGGUUGUAAAGCUCUGUUAAUCGGGACGCGGUACCGGAAUAGAAAGCCACGGCUAACUACGUGCCAGCAGCCGCGGUAAUUC